CAGUCGCCACGGUAAUACGUAGGGCGCAAGCGUUGUCCGGAAUUAUUGGGCGUAAAGAGCUCGUAGGCGGUCUGUCGCGUCUGGUGUGAAAUCCCGAGGCUCAACCUCGGGCUUGCAUCGGGUACGGGCAGACUAGAGUGCGGUAGGGGAGACUGGAAUUCCUGGUGUAGCGGUGGAAUGCGCAGAUAUCGGGAGGAACACCGAUGGCGAAGGCAGGUCUCUGGGCCGCAACUGACGCUGAGGAGCGAAAGCAUGGGGAGCGAACAGGAUUAGAUACCCCCGUAGUCCCUGUCUCUUAUAC
rnacentral:rRNA from 1 species